CAUCCGCAGCCGCCGCCGUUCCACCAAAUCUCCCUCGGGUUCCAACCCACACCAACCAACGCUUCCCCUCGUCCAUUCUUCCAUCCAGCAGCCACGAGGAGCUUUGGCCUCCCGCAGUCGCGCCUCCAACAGCAGCAGCAGCAGUCCAAGCCCGUUGAGGUGGUGCCUCCUUCCGGCGCCUCGGCCUCCCUGCGAGCCCCGCGUCUGAGAGCGUCGUCGCACACGCACUGCCCUGCCGCAUGGAGCUGCCCCGAGCAGCCUCGAACCAGCUGCGCCUCCUUGUGGGCUCCUGGCUCGACCACGAGGUCGCCCUCGAGCACCACCCCUCGGUCAGCCUCGGCAGGCCACCCUCCUCUCCUCCAGCUAGCUCCUCCAUGCCGCUCGAACAGGCAAACGGCCAUGGACGCCAAUGCCGCUCGAAGCCUCCUCCGCCCUGCCUCGUCCUCCCGCCGGGAACAAACAGAGCUCACAGCCACAGGAGUUGACAGCUUCCGCUGCUGCAGGCCCGCCCCGAUCGCCCCAAGGACCUCCUCGCCGGAGCUCCACCAGCAGGAACAACAUCGCUAGCACGCAGGAGUUGGACCUCUCCAUGUGCUCGUGCGUCGGAUCGAGCCCUCGUUGCCGGGAAUGGAACCCCCAGUCCCGGAUCUAUUGAUCCCCAUCAUUCCCGCGUCGUAGAACCCCAUCCCCAAGCCAAUCCCGCUCAUGCUUCGUCCCAGUUGCAGCAUCAGAAUGUCAUCGCAGAAGGAACUUGAGUACAUGAGCCGUGACAUGGAGAUUAGCGCCCCUAACGCGGAUGAUUCAGCUAUCCGCGACGGUGAGAUGGGCAGCGACUAACAGGUAGAACGGACCAUCGGGGCAGGGGACACAAGCUACAUUGAGUGGACUUCAUCCAACACUAACGCCACAAAGAAGAGCAACCGAAAGGCAAGGGAUCCAAACAAGCUUCACAAAGCUAUAAUUGCAAUCCCCGACUUGGCUCGAGUGGUGAGACCGUCACCCCAGAGGAUGCAUCAAAAAGGUAUAACAAAAUGCUAGGUUGCAUCUUGCGAAAACUAUCCCGAUCGGUAGCAAGGAUUUGGUCGGACACAAGGUCAAUCUACUACUAGCGUUAAACCAUAGUUAUGAAUUUCCACCUUAUGUCAAGAAGUUAGCUGAAUAUUAUGCCAUGUCAAAAUGGCCAAAGAUGUUAAGGGACUGGAAGAGCAGUGCCCGUUGCAAUCUAGUUGGUAAGGACUUCGAGACCGUUAAGUGGCUCAAUCCAACUAUGGAUCACGAAGAAUGAAGAUGUUUUGUGAAUCCUGUGGUAUUGAGUCAAGCAAGAAGAUAAGUGAGCAUUUCCAUAAUUACGAAAAAAGCUGCCAUGUAACCACUGUCUGGGCCCUGGUGGUUACAAAGCUGCAAAACCCAAGUGGGAGAAGGAGGCCACGGAGUUUAUAGCCGCGGGUAAAUGACCUCCAUUCUGGGAACGUCGAGAUCGUGCUUGGGACUUCCGUUUUCUCGGAGCACCGGAGACGUAGUGCCAGAUAAUCCGCAUUCAGGGGAGAAGAAUGCACACGACACUUGCGGACCAUCCAUGGACAAACAACCUAUGUGUGUUAUCAUCCCCGAAGGGCGGCGAUCAGACUCUAUGUUGGGGACCCUCUCGAUUGAUCUUCAUAUUCUACACACCCAUGUGGUAGAUAAAUAAAAAAAAGGUGAACAUGGAUACACGACCAAGGUGAUAGAAGGUUAUGGUUUUGUCCAGGAGUCUCCGGCAGAUAGAAUUGAUUUGGCCUUUAAUGAGGCAAUCCAUGCAAAUAUCUUCUGUGUCAGCGCAGUCUUCCCGGAGUUAAUGAUAUUUUGGGUACUUCAUCAAGCUAUAGAUACCCUAUUCCCGCAUGGUAACGUGUCCUUACCUGAUCCUUUUUACAUGCAUUACCACAACCUGGAAACCAUAGAAGGCGAGCAGGUCAUCUCAGACUACCUGUUCCUGUUCUUUGUUGUCAAUACCCACACGAGGACACCUUUCUAGUGCCAGAAUGCGACAACGACCGGCAUUGGAUCGUUAUCGCACUAUUGCCGAUGCAGGGCUUGGCUUACUUCUUCGAUUUGAAGAGACACCCUAAAUAACAACGGACCAUAUUGAAGAAGGUAAUAAAUGAUGCUCCCACCAAGUGUAAGAACUUGAGAGAGACUGUAACAGAACAUUCAGAAAUCAAGUUCUUCACUAGGGCUUGUUGCUAUCAAGAACAAAAUGUGGAAACCUCUCAUAGGUCCGGAUAUCGUGCCAUGUCUAUCAUGGACGACUUUUUGAAGAAAAUAAAAUAUAUGCGUAAUCAUAGCGAGAUCAUCAAGUGGUCCAAACACAUGGAGAGGGUCAUGAACAUAGGGAAACUAUUAGGAGAACACAUUCGCCUCCAAAAGGUCUUGGCCAGAAUUGUCAACAAAGAUGUUGUAAAUGAGGUUGGGAAGUUUUACUUCCAGCUAGAGCGAGAUGAACAACGACUUCACCGAGUUGAAGACAUAUCACGGUAAUCGAUUGCGAGCGAUACAUUGCUUCGAAACAUCUUGAUUCGUUAUUCAUUUUAUAAGUUGAGAAUUUUACAUAUUG